AAACUAGGGAUAGAUACCCUAUUAUUCUAAUAAAAAAAUAAAGUAUUGUAGAGUAAAUGUAGAACAUUAAAUUUAAAUAAUUUGGCGGUAUUUUUUAAGAUUAGAGGAAUCUGUUGAAUAAAUGAUAACCCACGAUAGGAAAAUCCUGAUUAAUUUUUUAUAUAUUGUUGUUUAGAUAUUAGUUUAAGAGAAUUUAAUAAAGAUUUAUGAUAGUAGUAUAAUUCAAAUCAAAAUGUAGAAUUAUUAGGAAUUAAAUGGAUUACAAUUUUAUAAAAUAAUAGGGUUUAGUUUUUAAUUAAUUAAAUAAAAGUGGAUUUAAUAGUAAGAAUGUAUAAUAUUAUAUUUUGAAUUUUUAAAAAGGUAUGUACAAAUUGCCAUCAUUUUCA
rnacentral:rRNA from 1 species